GGCUCGUGUGGUGCAGUCUAUAAGUGCACUAUCAACUUAAUGGGAAAAAAAAAUUGCCAGCCAUCAUACAUAUGUUAUAUUUUUUAAAAAUUUAAUUAUAUAUAUGAAGUUACCGAACAACUUCUCUUUUCGAGUUUUCUCACAAGAGAUUUGCUUCCGCUAUCCCACAAUGCCACUCCUAAUUCAAACCAUUUAUGCAAGAACGGGUCAGAAUUUACUUUCCAGUGUGAAAUUGUGUUUGGGUAUCAGCAUGAUGCUCGCCAUCCUAGUCGUUGAUGUUCUGGAAAGGUGGCACCGAACAUGAAUAGGAGCUUAAUGACAAAGCCUACAGUUAGUUAAAAUAUGAAGACUUCUUCCCUUCCCUUCUUUGUCAUCUAAUCCAACUAUUUAUAAUAUCACCAACAUCUUUGACGUAGGAUUUAUUCUCCCUUAGUUUUUGUGUCAAUUUAUUACUGGUCUCAAAC
rnacentral:lncRNA from 1 species